rnacentral:misc_RNA from 1 species
AACGUCAACCCCAUACUUUCUGCAAGCUGCUCUAAUUUGUGCAAGCAACAGCUCUGGGCUUGAAAGUGACCCCUGAGGCUGAAGCUUAUCUGACAGGUCCAUUCCAGGUAAAAUCAUUUUACAUGAAUUCCUUGCAAACAUCUCAGCAACCGCCCCGUAGCCAUCUCUGUUUUCUGUGUUAUAAAUCCCAGCCGUCAGCUCAGACGGGUGAGUGCGGGUUUUGUACCAAUGGUGCAUGAGUGGGACUUUACCAUAAAUUGUCACGGUAGUGUCACCAAACUCAGUGGAGGCAAGGGAAAGGAGGCGAUUUCCAUGAGACAAAAGCUGACUUGAAUACCAGGAAAGGAAGAAGUUGCCAUAAGGAGACUCCCAUGAUCCUCCAUGAUCCUUGAAGAAGCUGUUAAAGUUUGGCAACUGGUUAUAACUGGGGGCAUCAUGGGGACCACCAAGUCCCCAUAAAGGAUUUCCCAUUGCCUCAGCAUGUUGCUUUAGAAGGUUAAGCAUAUUUUUGUCAUAACAUUGGAACUCCCCAACUCCAUGGAUUUUGCCACUUUUAACUACCCCACGA